rnacentral:rRNA from 1 species
AUUGAACGCUGGCGGCAGGCCUAACACAUGCAAGUCGAGCGGAGCGGCGGACGGGUGAGUAAUGCAUAGGAAUCUGCCUGGUAGCGGGGGAUAACGACCGGAAACGGUCGCUAAUACCGCAUACUAUUAGAUGAGCCGAUGUCGGAUUAGCUAGUUGGUGGGGUAAAGGCUUACCAAGGCGACGAUCCGUAACUGGUUUGAGAGGAUGACCAGUCACACUGGAACUGAGACACGGUCCAGACUCCUACGGGAGGCAGCAGUGGGGAAUAUUGGACAAUGGGCGAAAGCCUGAUCCAGCCAUGCCGCGUGUGUGAUGAAGGUCUUCGGAUUGUAAAGCACUUUUAGUAGGGAAGCGUUACCAACAGAAUAAGCACCGGCUAACUUCGUGCCAGCAGCCGCGGUAAUAC